GGUUCCGUAGCUCAGCUGGAGUCCCUCAGAAGACGUAGAGCGCUGGAAUUCGUAAUCUGGAGGUCGGGGGUUCGAGUCCUCCCGGGACCGCCA
rnacentral:tRNA from 1 species